GCAAACUUGGUCAUUUAGAGGAAGUAAAAGUCAUAACAAGGUUUCUGUAGGUGAACCUGCAGAAGGAUCAUUAGUGAAUUUUGAGCGCGGAUUCGUCCCGCUUUUCUUCAUUUUCCACACACCUGUGCACCGUUGACGUGUUGUUGUAUCACAACGAUGCGUCGACACAAUUUACACACACACACUAUGUUUAUGAACGUUUUUACAAUAACAAAAAAAAACUUUUGACAACGGAUCUCUUGGUUCUCCCAUCGAUGAAGAACGCAGC
rnacentral:misc_RNA from 1 species